ACAGAAGCGAGUCGGACUGUGCUCGCUGCUCAGCGCCGCACCCGGAGGAUGAGGCUUGCCGUGGGAGCCCUGCUGGUCUGCGCCGUCCUGGGGCUGUGUCUGGCUGUCCCUGAUAAAACUGUGAGAUGGUGUGCAGUGUCGGAGCAUGAGGCCACUAAGUGCCAGAGUUUCCGCGACCAUAUGAAAAGCGUCAUUCCAUCCGAUGGUCCCAGUGUUGCUUGUGUGAAGAAAGCCUCCUACCUUGAUUGCAUCAGGGCCAUUGCGGCAAACGAAGCGGAUGCUGUGACACUGGAUGCAGGUUUGGUGUAUGACGCUUACCUGGCUCCCAAUAACCUGAAGCCUGUGGUGGCAGAGUUCUACGGGUCAAAAGAGGAUCCACAGACUUUCUAUUAUGCUGUUGCUGUGGUGAAGAAGGACAGUGGCUUCCAGAUGAACCAGCUUCGAGGCAAGAAGUCCUGCCACACGGGUCUAGGCAGGUCCGCUGGGUGGAACAUCCCCAUAGGCUUACUUUACUGUGACUUACCUGAGCCACGUAAACCUCUUGAGAAAGCAGUGGCCAAUUUCUUCUCGGGCAGCUGUGCCCCUUGUGCGGAUGGGACGGACUUCCCCCAGCUGUGUCAACUGUGUCCAGGGUGUGGCUGCUCCACCCUUAACCAAUACUUCGGCUACUCGGGAGCCUUCAAGUGAGUGAGAUGUCUGCUGCUCCAUGGUGGCCAAAGUGCCAAAUGUCCUCAGGGUGAGAGUUCUUUGCUAGUCCAAAGCUGAGCCCUGCCUGCCUACAGGGGCAUCAAGGUGGCCUAAUCCCCUCCCAGUGAGUCAGAAGCACAACCUGGGACUCCUAGGCCAAGCCAGCCCAUGUUCCCUUUCAUCUGACCCUGACAAGUAGGUCCUUUUCCUGGGGACCCUUCCUUUCCCCCCAGAGCCCUCAAGCCUGGUCAGUGUCUCCUCUCGGUGGAUCGGGCAGAGCCUGAAAGGACAAUCAUGCCUCUAGUGUCUGGG
rnacentral:sRNA from 1 species